rnacentral:rRNA from 1 species
UUAAGCGACUAAGCGUACACGGUGGAUGCCCUGGCAGUCAGAGGCGAUGAAGGACGUGCUAAUCUGCGAUAAGCGUCGGUAAGGUGAUAUGAACCGUUAUAACCGGCGAUUUCCGAAUGGGGAAACCCAGUGUGAUUCGUCACACUAUCAUUAACUGAAUCCAUAGGUUAAUGAGGCGAACCGGGGGAACUGAAACAUCUAAGUACCCCGAGGAAAAGAAAUCAACCGAGAUUCCCCCAGUAGCGGCGAGCGAACGGGGAGCAGCCCAGAGCCUGAAUCAGUAUGUGUGUUAGUGGAAGCGUCUGGAAAGGCGCGCGAUACAGGGUGACAGCCCCGUACACAAAAAUGCACAUGCUGUGAGCUCGAUGAGUAGGGCGGGACACGUGGUAUCCUGUCUGAAUAUGGGGGGACCAUCCUCCAAGGCUAAAUACUCCUGACUGACCGAUAGUGAACCAGUACCGUGAGGGAAAGGCGAAAAGAACCCCGGCGAGGGGAGUGAAAAAGAACCUGAAACCGUGUACGUACAAGCAGUGGGAGCACGCUUAGGCGUGUGACUGCGUACCUUUUGUAUAAUGGGUCAGCGACUUAUAUUCUGUAGCAAGGUUAACCGAAUAGGGGAGCCGAAGGGAAACCGAGUCUUAACUGGGCGUUAAGUUGCAGGGUAUAGACCCGAAACCCGGUGAUCUAGCCAUGGGCAGGUUGAAGGUUGGGUAACACUAACUGGAGGACCGAACCGACUAAUGUUGAAAAAUUAGCGGAUGACUUGUGGCUGGGGGUGAAAGGCCAAUCAAACCGGGAGAUAGCUGGUUCUCCCCGAAAGCUAUUUAGGUAGCGCCUCGUGAAUUCAUCUCCGGGGGUAGAGCACUGUUUCGGCAAGGGGGUCAUCCCGACUUACCAACCCGAUGCAAACUGCGAAUACCGGAGAAUGUUAUCACGGGAGACACACGGCGGGUGCUAACGUCCGUCGUGAAGAGGGAAACAACCCAGACCGCCAGCUAAGGUCCCAAAGUCAUGGUUAAGUGGGAAACGAUGUGGGAAGGCCCAGACAGCCAGGAUGUUGGCUUAGAAGCAGCCAUCAUUUAAAGAAAGCGUAAUAGCUCACUGGUCGAGUCGGCCUGCGCGGAAGAUGUAACGGGGCUAAACCAUGCACCGAAGCUGCGGCAGCGACGCUGAUGCGUUGUUGGGUAGGGGAGCGUUCUGUAAGCCUGUGAAGGUGUACUGUGAGGUAUGCUGGAGGUAUCAGAAGUGCGAAUGCUGACAUAAGUAACGAUAAAGCGGGUGAAAAGCCCGCUCGCCGGAAGACCAAGGGUUCCUGUCCAACGUUAAUCGGGGCAGGGUGAGUCGACCCCUAAGGCGAGGCCGAAAGGCGUAGUCGAUGGGAAACAGGUUAAUAUUCCUGUACUUGGUGUUACUGCGAAGGGGGGACGGAGAAGGCUAUGUUGGCCGGGCGACGGUUGUCCCGGUUUAAGCGUGUAGGCUGGUUUUCCAGGCAAAUCCGGAAAAUCAAGGCUGAGGCGUGAUGACGAGGCACUACGGUGCUGAAGCAACAAAUGCCCUGCUUCCAGGAAAAGCCUCUAAGCAUCAGGUAACAUCAAAUCGUACCCCAAACCGACACAGGUGGUCAGGUAGAGAAUACCAAGGCGCUUGAGAGAACUCGGGUGAAGGAACUAGGCAAAAUGGUGCCGUAACUUCGGGAGAAGGCACGCUGAUAUGUAGGUGAAGUCCCUCGCGGAUGGAGCUGAAAUCAGUCGAAGAUACCAGCUGGCUGCAACUGUUUAUUAAAAACACAGCACUGUGCAAACACGAAAGUGGACGUAUACGGUGUGACGCCUGCCCGGUGCCGGAAGGUUAAUUGAUGGGGUCAGCGCAAGCGAAGCUCUUGAUCGAAGCCCCGGUAAACGGCGGCCGUAACUAUAACGGUCCUAAGGUAGCGAAAUUCCUUGUCGGGUAAGUUCCGACCUGCACGAAUGGCGUAAUGAUGGCCAGGCUGUCUCCACCCGAGACUCAGUGAAAUUGAACUCGCUGUGAAGAUGCAGUGUACCCGCGGCAAGACGGAAAGACCCCGUGAACCUUUACUAUAGCUUGACACUGAACAUUGAGCCUUGAUGUGUAGGAUAGGUGGGAGGCUUUGAAGUGUGGACGCCAGUCUGCAUGGAGCCGACCUUGAAAUACCACCCUUUAAUGUUUGAUGUUCUAACGUUGACCCGUAAUCCGGGUUGCGGACAGUGUCUGGUGGGUAGUUUGACUGGGGCGGUCUCCUCCUAAAGAGUAACGGAGGAGCACGAAGGUUGGCUAAUCCUGGUCGGACAUCAGGAGGUUAGUGCAAUGGCAUAAGCCAGCUUGACUGCGAGCGUGACGGCGCGAGCAGGUGCGAAAGCAGGUCAUAGUGAUCCGGUGGUUCUGAAUGGAAGGGCCAUCGCUCAACGGAUAAAAGGUACUCCGGGGAUAACAGGCUGAUACCGCCCAAGAGUUCAUAUCGACGGCGGUGUUUGGCACCUCGAUGUCGGCUCAUCACAUCCUGGGGCUGAAGUAGGUCCCAAGGGUAUGGCUGUUCGCCAUUUAAAGUGGUACGCGAGCUGGGUUUAGAACGUCGUGAGACAGUUCGGUCCCUAUCUGCCGUGGGCGCUGGAGAACUGAGGGGGGCUGCUCCUAGUACGAGAGGACCGGAGUGGACGCAUCACUGGUGUUCGGGUUGUCAUGCCAAUGGCACUGCCCGGUAGCUAAAUGCGGAAGAGAUAAGUGCUGAAAGCAUCUAAGCACGAAACUUGCCCCGAGAUGAGUUCUCCCUGACUCCUUGAGAGUCCUGAAGGAACGUUGAAGACGACGACGUUGAUAGGCCGGGUGUGUAAGCGCAGCGAUGCGUUGAGCUAACCGGUACUAAUGAACCGUGAGGCUUAACCUU